UACGUAGGGGGGCUAGCGUUGUCCGGAUUUAUUGGGCGUAAAGAGCGUGUAGGCGGCCAGGUAGGUCUGCUGUGAAAACUCGAGGCUCAACCUCGAGACGUCGGCGGAAAACCAUCUGGCUAGAGUCCGGAAAGAGGAGAGUGGAAUUCCUGGUGUAGCGGUGAAAAUGCGCAGAUAUCAGGAGGAACACCGGUGGCGAAGGCGGUGGUCUGGGGCCCGGAA
rnacentral:rRNA from 1 species